rnacentral:sRNA from 2 species
AAAUAGGUCGGCUAGGGUUCCGGUCCGCUUCUGCGGGCGUCUGGACCGAGAGCCGGCGACCUCCAGUUCGAGGUUACACGGCGGGAUAAAAGCCCGGGAGAC